GAUGUUCUUUGGUGUCUAGUCCCUUGUCUCAUGUCUAAUGUAACCUGCCAUUUUCCUUUACAGGUAGGAGCAACGGUGGGAAUGCCCUCUGAGGAAUGCAGUGAUGUCCAUCAGUCACCUCUCACCCAGAGCCUGGCAAAUUCAGUCUCUUUCACAGAACCUAAAGCCAAGCCAGGUUCAGUGGGAAAUCCCACCUGUCCAAACACUGUGUGAGACACCAGAAUUAGAGGCCUGCAAGCCUGCUUCCUUCAUCCCCAAUGCCCAGAUGGGACAGGUCACCAGCCUCCUGUGUCUACCCCCACCUUUCUUGCUUGCUGUGCCUCUCUCAUCCCUGCAAUCCAGACAGCACAUGCAGC
rnacentral:lncRNA from 1 species